rnacentral:rRNA from 1 species
AUUGAACGCUGGCGGCAGGCUUAACACAUGCAAGUCGAGCGGGGUGAUGGUGCUUGCACUAUCACUUAGCGGCGGACGGGUGAGUAAUGCUUAGGAAUCUGCCUAUUAGUGGGGGACAACAUCUCGAAAGGGAUGCUAAUACCGCAUACGUCCUACGGGAGAAAGCAGGGGAUCACUUGUGACCUUGCGCUAAUAGAUGAGCCUACGUCGGAGUAGCUAGUUGGGGGGAUAAAGCCCUACCAAGGCGACGAUCUGUAGCGGGUCUGAGCGGAUGGUCCGCGACACUGGGACGGAGACACGGCGCCGACUCCUGCGGGAGGCAGCGGUGGGGAAUAUUGGACAAUGGGGGGAACCCUGAUCCAGCCAUGCCGCGGCUGUUAAGGAGGCCUUAUGGUGGUAUAGCACGUUAAGCGGGGAGGAGGCUCUUUUGGUUAAUACCCAAGAUGAGUGGACGUUACUCGCGGAAGAGGCGCCGGAUAACGCUGUGCGAGCCACUGUCGUAA